rnacentral:rRNA from 1 species
GACGAACGCUGGCGGCGUGCUUAACACAUGCAAGUCGAACGGAAAGGCCCUGCUUUUGUGGGGUGCUCGAGUGGCGAACGGGUGAGUAACACGUGAGUAACCUGCCCUUGACUUUGGGAUAACUUCAGGAAACUGGGGCGAAUACCGGAUAGGAGCUCCUGCUGCAUGGUGGGGGUUGGAAAGUUUCGGCGGUUGGGGAUGGACUCGCGGCUUAUCAGCUUGUUGGUGGGGUAGUGGCUUACCAAGGCUUUGACGGGUAGCCGGCCUGAGAGGGUGACCGGCCACAUUGGGACUGAGAUACGGCCCAGACUCCUACGGGAGGCAGCAGUGGGGAAUAUUGCACAAUGGGCGGAAGCCUGAUGCAGCAACGCCGCGUGCGGGAUGACGGCCUUCGGGUUGUAAACCGCUUUCGCCUGUGACGAAGCGUGAGUGACGGUAAUGGGUAAAGAAGCACCGGCUAACUACGU